GAUGAACGCUGGCGGCGUGCCUAAUACAUGCAAGUCGAGCGAACGGACGAGAAGCUUGCUUCUCUGAUGUUAGCGGCGGACGGGUGGGUAACACGUGGAUAACCUACCUAUAAUACGGGGAUAACUUCGGGAAACCGGAGCUAAUACCGGAUAAUAUUUUGAACCGCAUGGUUCAAAAGUGAAAGACGGUCUUGCUGUCACUAAUAGAUGGAGCCGCGCUGCAUUAGCUAGUUGGUAAGGUAACGGCUUACCAAGGCAACGAUGCAUAGCCGACCUGAGAGGGUGAUCGGCCACACUGGAACUGAGACACGGUCCAGACUCCUACGGGAGGCAGCAGUAGGGAAUCUUCCGCAAUGGGCGAAAGCCUGACGGAGCAACGCCGCGUGAGUGAUGAAGGUCUUCGGAUCGUAAAACUCUGUUAUUAGGGAAGAACAUAUGUGUAAGUAACUGUGCACAUCUUGACGGUACCUAAUCAGAAAGCCACGGCUAACUACGUG
rnacentral:rRNA from 1 species